rnacentral:rRNA from 1 species
GUUUCAGCAGCCGCGGUAAUACGUAGGUGGCAAGCGUUGUCCGGAUUUACUGGGCGUAAAGGAUGCGUAGGCGGAUAUUUAAGUCAGAUGUGAAAUACCCGAGCUUAACUUGGGUGCUGCAUUUGAAACUGGAUAUCUAGAGUGUGGGAGAGGAAAGUGGAAUUCCUAGUGUAGCGGUGAAAUGCGUAGAGAUUAGGAAGAACACCAGUGGCGAAGGCGACUUUCUGGACCAUAACUGACGCUGAGGCAUGAAAGCGUGGGGAGCAAACAGGAUUAGAAACCCGGGUAGUCC